GUAACGGCGAGUGAAGCGGGAAGAGCUCAAGCUUAAAAUCUCCGUGCAAGUUUUGUGCGGCGAAUUGUAGUCUAUAGAGGCGUGGUCAGCGUGGGCGCUUGGGGCAAGUUCCUUGGAAGAGGACAGCAUGGAGGGUGAUACUCCCGUUCAUCCCUGAGUGGCUCGUGCGUACGACCCGUUUUCUUUGAGUCGCGUUGUUUGGGAAUGCAGCGCAAAGUAGGUGGUAAAUUCCAUCUAAAGCUAAAUAUUGGUGCGAGACCGAUAGCGAACAAGUACCGUGAGGGAAAGAUGAAAAGAACUUUGAAAAGAGAGUUAAAGAGUACCUGAAACUGCUGAAAGGGAACCGAAUCGUUUCCAGUGUCUAUAAUCUGUGGCAUAUUUCAUUGGCGAGCGUUUGCGUGCRUGUGCUGUGGCAGUGGCUUUUUUGGCUGCGCCUGGUGUGUGUGGUGUGAGUGUUUGCUGGUGCCCUGUGCUGCGGUGGGACGUCAAGGUCAGUUCGUAUGCUGCGGGAAAUGGCUGCCGAGGAGGUAGGGCUUACGCUCCGCGUUUGUCUGUUAUAUCUUGGUGGACGAGUCGUCGCGGUUGGGACUGAGGUGCCUACAACGUGCUUUUGAGUGGGUUUGUGUCUCCGUGUGCGCCGUGUGCGGGAUAGCUUGCUAUGCGUGUGUGGGUUGUGUGUGGAUUGAUGCGGGCC
rnacentral:rRNA from 1 species